CGUACAUGUUCAGAAGUGCCCGUGUCAAUACAGUGCAGCUACGCUACUCACAGUAAAAACUGUGCUCAUCCACAUCUCAGAGGGAGGUGAGGUGAACAACUCCAAACUCGUGCCACCCUCAUCACAGAACAUCUAUUUCCAGCUUUAUAGCACAGAUCUCUCAGGGCUGCAAUAGACCAGAUAUUCAUAGAAAAUGGAAGAAGCUGGUUCAUUCAACUUAUGCAUUUCACUGCCUGGAUCAGUGCCACUGUAACCCUGGGAUAUUUCUUUACAGAUCUGCAACUGGUUCUCUCAAGGCUGGAAAGGAUUAGAAAUUCUAGAAGAUGGAGUCUAGUCUACACACAAUUCAAACUAAGGACCCCUCACACCCCGCCCCUGGGUUUAGAGUUCCAUAGCUCCAACACAGAAGUGAAAUCGUUUCCCCUGGAAUCUUUUCACUGCCUGUUUUUUAACUGUUCUUUAG
rnacentral:lncRNA from 1 species